rnacentral:rRNA from 1 species
GUGUCAGCCGCCGCGGUAAUACGUAGGGUGCGAGCGUUAAUCGGAAUUACUGGGCGUAAAGCGUGCGCAGGCGGAUUGUUAAGCAAGAUGUGAAAUCCCCGGGCUUAACCUGGGAAUGGCAUUUUGAACUGGCAGUCUAGAGUGCGUCAGAGGGGGGUGGAAUUCCACGUGUAGCAGUGAAAUGCGUAGAGAUGUGGAGGAACACCGAUGGCGAAGGCAGCCCCCUGGGAUGACACUGACGCUCAUGUACGAAAGCGUGGGUAGCAAACAGGAUUAGAAACCCGCGUAGUCC